AUGUCCGGGGCUAAAGUGUAAAACCGAAGUCGUGUCAUAUGCAGCAAUGUAUAUGGGUAGGGGAGCGUUCUCAUCGGGCUGAAGCAGUACCGUAAGGAGUUGUGGACUGAUGAGAAGUGAGAAUGUCGGUAUGAGUAGCGAAAAGAAUGGUGAGAAUCCAUUCCACCGAAAGCCUAAGGGUUCCUGAGCAACGAUCGUCGUCUCAGGGUAAGUCGGGACCUAAGCCGAGGCGGAAAAGCGUAGGCGAUGGACAACAGGUUGAAAUUCCUGUACCGGUGUGAAUCGUUUGAUCGAAGGAGUGACACAGUAAGGUAGGUCAGCACGCGAUUGGAAGUGCGUGUUUAAGCAUGUAGGUUGAGCUAUAGGCAAAUCCGUAGCUCUAAAAGCUGAGAUGUGAUGACGAGCUGUUUACAGCGAAGUGAUUGAUCCUACACUGUCGAGAAAAGCUUCUAGGUAGAGACACAUCGCCCGUACCAAAACCGACACAGGUAGGCGGGGAGAGAAUCCUAAGGUGCGCGGGAAAACCCUCGUUAAGGAACUCGGCAAAAUGCCUCCGUAACUUCGGGAAAAGGAGGACUCAUGUAGUGUGAAGGGCAGCAACGCGUGGAGCAUGAAUGAGUGGCACAAGAGAGGCGCAAGCGACUGUUUACCACAAACACAGGUGCCUGCUAAAGCGAAAGCUGAUGUAUAGGUGCUGACACCUGCCCGGUGCUGGAAGGUUAAGAGGAGGGGUUAGACUUCGGUCGAAGCUCUGAAUUGAAGCCCCAGUAAACGGCGGCCGUAACUAUAACGGUCCUAAGGUAGCGAAAUUCCUUGUCGGGUAAGUUCCGACCCGCACGAAAGGUGUAACGACUUGCGCACUGUCUCAACGAGGGACCCGGUGAAAUUGAAGUACCUGUGAAGAUGCAGGUUACCCGCGACUGGACAGAAAGACCCCAUGGAGCUUUACUGCAACCUAAGAUUGAACUUAGUUAAUGAAUGUACAGGAUAGGUGGGAGACGUAGAACCUAGGACGCCAGUUUUAGGGGAGUCACUGUUGGGAUACCACCCUUUCAUUAAUUGAUUUCUAACGGGCCGAGUAACGACCGGCCGGACAGUCUUAGGCGGGCAGUUUGACUGGGGCGGUCGCCUCCUAAAGAGUAACGGAGGCGCCCAAA
rnacentral:rRNA from 1 species